AAUUAGGGCAUAUAUAAUAUAUGAAGUGGGCUGCACAAACACCAUGUGCUUGACAUAUUCAUUCUCCAAUCUCUCAAGCAUGCUCUAUGAUCUUGGGAUUGGAACCUUGGGAUCUAUUGGUAACAGAUCUUCCUCUGAUCCUUGUACAUGAGACUGCAGUUUUUCUUAAAAGAGGGUUUGCAGUUUAGAGAUUAUUAAUUUUACUACAAACUUAUGAGCACCAUAACCAUAUAGGAGUAGUAAAAUGUUGACUGUUUUUUCAGUGCCAUUAUGUGCUCGAAUAUUUUCUAACAAGCACUCUUGUGCAUGAUUUUUUUU
rnacentral:lncRNA from 1 species